rnacentral:lncRNA from 10 species
GUUGGAGUGCAGUGGCACAAUCACAGCUCACUGUAACCUUGAAUUCCUGGGCUCAAGUGAUCAUCUGGCUUCAGCCUCCCAAACUGCUGGGACUACAGGUGUGAGCCACUAUGCCUGGCCAGAGCUUUUUUUCAGACAUCUUCUAUCUACUUUUACUAGGUAAUGUUCUCACAUAGUACAAAAUUCAAAAGGUGCAAAUGGGUCAGAGUGGAGAGUACAUCUUGCUUCUUUUAUUGUAUAGCCUUCCAGAGAGAACUUAUCUAUGCCUAGUAGGCAUAUAUGUGUUUAUAUAUUUAUAUACAUAUUUAGAUAUUUAGAUUGGUAGAUGAUAGAUCAUUUAAAUUUUUUUUUGCAAAAACAGGUCCAUACUAGCUGCACUUAUUUCUAGGAAGCACUUUCCAUCAGCCAGAGAGAUAGAAAUGAGGUGUGGGGAGGUAAAAAGGAAGUGACCUGUCCCACAGUGAAUCUGCAGAAAAGCCAGUGAAGACCAGGUGGAUGAAAAUGAGGCUGGGGCCAUGCCCAUGGGGAGAUGUUGGACGAUGCUUGAGUGCAAGAUGGCAGCAGGCCGGGAGAGGCCCAGAAGAGAACUCACCACGCCGUGGGGUUCCUUAAUGACAUGGGGUGUCAAGCAUCUUUUCAUAUGCUUAUUUGCCAUCUGGAUAUCUUCUCUGAAGAGGUAACUGUUCAAAUCUUUCGCCCACUUUUUAAUUGGGUUGUUUGUUUUCUUAUUGUUGAGUUUUAAGAGUUCAUUGUACAUUUUGGAAACAAGCCCUUUAUCAGAUAAGUGUUUUGCAAGCACUUUCUCCCAGUCUGUGGCUUGUCUGUUCAUUCUCUUAAAAUAUACUGUAUUCACGUUAAAAUGAAACUUCAUAUCACAAUGGUAAUGGGGAAAGCAGAAUACUUUGCCAUGAAAGAAGGUAACCAUAAAAAUUUAAA